rnacentral:lncRNA from 1 species
AUGAGGUAAGUCCUGCAAUUUAUUCAUCGCUUUCUUGGGUGUUAAAUUGGUGGUUUGCGCACCUGCAUGAUCACCUCACAUGUUAGGGAAAUAGAUUUAAAAUCAAUUCAAGCUGCCUGCAAAACAUUUUUUCGAAAAUAAAAGAGAAAGGUACCGAAAGGGCGUUAGAGAAAUCUAGCGUAACCAAGUCCCCGAACUCACAAUCUCUGGUUCGUAGGAGUGAAGUAAUUCUCCCAUUACUUUACUUGGGUUUCUAAUCGACCCACCAAGAAUAGAUUAGUGGC